rnacentral:rRNA from 1 species
AGAGCGAACGCUGGCGGCAGGCCUAAUACAUGCAAGUCGAACGAACCCUUCGGGGUUAGUGGCGGACGGGUGAGUAACACGUGGGAACGUGCCUUUUGGUUCGGAACAACUCAGGGAAACUUGAGCUAAUACCGAAUGUGCCCUUCGGGGGAAAGAUUUAUCGCCAUUAGAGCGGCCCGCGUCUGAUUAGCUAGUUGGUGGGGUAAAGGCCCACCAAGGCUACGAUCAGUAGCUGGUCUGAGAGGAUGAUCAGCCACACUGGGACUGAGACACGGCCCAGACUCCUACGGGAGGCAGCAGUAGGGAAUCUUGCGCAAUGGGCAAAGCCUGACGCAGCCAUGCCGCGUGAAUGAUGAAGGUCUUAGGAUUGUAAAAUUCUUUCAGCGGGACGAUAAUGACGGUACCGCAGAAGAAGCCCCGGCUAACUUCGCGCCAGCAGCCGC